CGAAUGGGGAGAUUCAUCGUCAGCGGUACUGGUACGUGUGCGGUUCGCGAUGUCCGGGACUUUGCGUCUCGUGGCACGCGUCCGUAUGUUUUUAUUGCCUGGUAUCGUCGGCGUGCACUUCUCCCCUAGUAGGACGUCGCGACCCGUUGGGUGUCGGUCUACGGCCCGGGUGGGCGCCUGUUCCGUGUGCGCUUUAUCGCGUCACUGCGGGGCAGACCCCCGGUUGCCCGACCGGCUGCUCGGCGGUACUCGCAAGGUAUCUGGCCGCAAAUAUUCGAACUGCGUCCGGCCCGUCGCAAGCGCGGGCGAGUGUUCCCGAAUGCACGGAUCUAAUGCCGUCAUCGGGCCUCACCAGCUGUUGGCCGACGGUGUCCUAGGACUGGCUAUAACAAUUAUGAUACCGGUCAGCGACGCUACUGCUUUGGGUACUUUCAGGACCCGUCUUGAAACACGGACCAAGGAGUCUAACAUGUGCGCGAGUCAUUGGGAACUAUUAAGCCUAAAGGCGCAAUGAAAGUGAAGGUCGGCCUUGCGCCGACCGAGGGAGGAU
rnacentral:rRNA from 1 species